rnacentral:rRNA from 1 species
UACGGAGGGUGCAAACGUUGCUCGGAAUCAUUGGGCGUAAAGCGCGCGUAGGCGGCCCAGCAAGUCGGGUGUGAAAGCCCUCGGCUCAACCGAGGAAGUGCAUCCGAAACUACUGAGCUUGAGUACUGGAGAGGGUGACGGAAUUCCCGGUGUAGAGGUGAAAUUCGUAGAUAUCGGGAGGAACACCAGCGGCGAAGGCGGUCACCUGGACAGAUACUGACGCUGAGGCGCGAAAGCGUGGGGAGCAAACAGG